rnacentral:rRNA from 1 species
GCUCAGAACGAACGCUGGCGGCAGGCCUAACACAUGCAAGUCGAACGCGCGUAGCAAUACGCGAGUGGCGCACGGGUGAGUAAUACGUGGGAAUCAACCCUGAGGUUCGGAAUAACCGCGGGAAACUGCGGCUAAUACCGGAUGUCCCCUACGGGGGAAAGAUUUAUCGCCUUGGGACGAGCCCACGUCCGAUUAGCUAGUUGGUGAGGUAAUGGCUCACCAAGGCUACGAUCGGUAGCUGGUCUGAGAGGACGACCAGCCACACUGGAACUGAGACACGGUCCAGACUCCUACGGGAGGCAGCAGUGGGGAAUAUUGGGCAAUGGAGGCAACUCUGACCCAGCCAUGCCGCGUGGGUGACGAAGGUCUUCGGAUUGUAAAGCCCUUUCGGCGGGGACGAUGAUGACGGUACCCGCAGAAGAAGCCCCGGCUAACUUCGUGCCAGCAGCCGCGGUAAUACGAAGGGGGCUAGCGUUGUUCGGAAUUACUGGGCGUAAAGGGCGUGUAGGCGGCCCGUUAAGACAGGUGUGAAAUUCCUGGGCUCAACCCAGGACGUGCGCCUGUGACUGGCGGGCUUGAGUCCGGGAGAGGAUGGUGGAACUCCCAGUGUAGAGGUGAAAUUCGUAGAUAUUGGGAAGAACACCCGUGGCGAAGGCGGCCAUCUGGACCGGUACUGACGCUAAGGCGCGACAGCGUGGGGAGCAAACAGGAUUAGAUACCCUGGUAGUCCACGCCGUAAACGAUGAGUGCUAGACGUUGGGCAGCCUAGCUGUUCAGUGUCGCAGCUAACGCAUUAAGCACUCCGCCUGGGGAGUACGGCCGCAAGGUUGAAACUCAAAG